rnacentral:rRNA from 1 species
AGAGUUUGAUCCUGGCUCAGAACGAACGCUGGCGGCGUGCUUAACACAUGCAAGUCGAGUGCGCGUUUCUGUAGCAAUACAGGAAUGGCGCACGGCGCACGGGUGCGUAACACGUGGGUAAUCUGCCCUCCGAUGGGGAAUAACCCCGCGAAAGCGGGGCUAAUUCCGCAUAACAUUCCUUGGACUCCGGUUCGAGGAUUCAAAGGCGUAAGUCGUCGGAGGUGGAACCCGCGCCCGAUUAGCUAGUUGGUGAGGUAACGGCUCACCAAGGCAAUGAUCGGUAGCUGGUCUGAGAGGAUGGCCAGCCACACUGGAACUGAGACACGGUCCAGACUCCUACGGGAGGCAGCAGUGGGGAAUCUUGCACAAUGGGCGAAAGCCUGAUGCAGCGACGCCGCGUGGGGGAUGAAGCUUCUCGGAGUGUAAACCCCUUUCGACCCGGACGAAUGCCCCGCGAGGGGAGUGACGGUACGGGUAUAAGAAGCCCCGGCUAACUACGUGCCAGCAGCCGCGGUAAGACGUGGGGGGCCAGCGUUGUUCGGAAUUACUGGGUGUAAAGGGUUCGUAGGCGGUGUGGCAAGUUGGGAGUGAAAUCUCUGGGCUCAACUCAGAGGCUGCUUCCAAAACUGCUGUGCUAGAGUGUGGGAGAGGCGCGUGGAAUUGCAGGUGUAGCGGUGAAAUGCGUAGAUAUCUGCAGGAACACCCGUGGCGAAAGCGGCGCGCUGGACCACUACUGACGCUGAGGAACGAAGCUAGGGGAGCAAACAGGAUUAGAUACCCUGGUAGUCCUAGCCCUAAACGAUCAGGA